rnacentral:rRNA from 1 species
UACGUAGGGAGCAAGCGUUGUUCGGAUUUACUGGGCGUAAAGGGCGCGUAGGCGGCGCGACAAGUCACUUGUGAAAUCUCCGGGCUUAACUCGGAACGGUCAAGUGAAACUGUCAUGCUAGAGUGCAGAAGGGGCAAUCGGAAUUCUUGGUGUAGCGGUGAAAUGCGUAGAUAUCGUUUGGAACGCCAAUGGUGAAAACAGGUAACUGGGAGUGUGCCGACGCUGAGACACGAAAGCCAGGGGAGCGAACGGG